rnacentral:lncRNA from 1 species
AUAUAAGCACUGUUGUUAUUUUGAUGUUUUUCUAAUAUUAAUAUGCAUAUAUCAUAGGAAGUAUUUAAAUGAAUUUUAAUUUCCCUUUUCAAUCAUCUCCCAUUGAAAGCUGAAUCAUGAGGAUACCAUCUCCAAGCAGGUGGAGUAUUUGAUCCCUUUAGCAAGGCAGUGAUUUUGAAAUUCGGGUUUAGACAAAAAGAUAUUUCAAGCUCCUGAAGAACAAGUUUGAAGGAUUCAGAGCAGAGAAUUGCACCCUGGCAUGAUGCCUAUGCCAGCUGGACUGUGUGAUUUUUGUUCUUUAGUAGAAGGAUAACAUGACAUAGCAGGAAUAAUACUGCCUUUUCUUUCUGGCAUGGAUCAAGAGAAAAGAAAAUACAAGAAAACAGACAGAAGGCUUCUGACAGCUUUGGAGAUUGUGACAUUGGAAUAAAGGAAAAACGUACAGGACUCAUGAAGCGCUGAAAUGUUCACAAAUAUCAAGCAAAAGUCAAUGAAAUUUAUUUUGAGCUAUUUACAUCAUUUAAUAAUUGAGCAAGGUAUACUCCUAUGAACAAAAUUUGGAGCAUGUUUGUCUCUCUCUGCCUGGCGUCUUCAGAAUUUGGAAACUAGUUAGUCAUGGAAAUUUAUUUUGAGCUAUUUACAGCAUUUAAUAAUUGAGCAAGGUAUACUCCUAUGAACAAAAUUUGGAGCAUGUUUGUCUCUCUCUGUCUGCCUGGCAUCUACAGAAUUUGGAAACUAGUUUCGUUCCCAGAUUUCCUAAACUUUCCAGAGAAAAUGGUCUUCUCCCUGGCUCAGCAAGAAGAUGAACUUUAAACACUGAGAAACUGGUCAUCUCCCUGGCUCAACCAGAAGAUGAACUUUAAACACUACUCUCAAUGACUUGAUGUUCCCAUCACUACUCCUGUCAUAAAGGGAGGGGACUCAGAUAUUGAGAAUUUUAUGAUAGUGUGAACUGUCUGGUAUGUCAUUUAAGUAAGCCCGUUGCUGAAAUAUUUUCCAUGUUAUUAGAAAGAGCUGAAGAGAGGGAUUGAGAUGGCUUCUUUAUUUUUUGUCUUUUGGGAAUUAAAGGAACCUGGUUCAACAAGGGCCUACACCUAAGUCUCUUGUUGUACCAGAGUACAAUUUAGGACUGCUCCUGAGGAAGGAAUUAGCUAGAAAUCUAGAGAGUAAGGGUAACAGAUUUACAUAGAAUAACAGCCUCAGUAUUUUUGGUUCCUCUCCAGUAAAGAUCACAAAGAAUAUUGCUAAAUCGCUAAAACACCUUUGCAAUAACGUAAGGGCUUACAACUAUAUACCAAUGUAGCUCAGUUACUAAACUGGAGUAAACUAAUUUCUCUUGUGUAGAAAAAUUGGUUGGCUGUGGUUUUAUAGCAGAUCUGCAAUUAUUAAUAGUUAUGCCAAUAAUCGUUUAACAGUGCAUAUGUUAAUAUAUAUGGAAAGACAAUGUGUAUAGACAGAUGUGUAAAAUUGAAAAAUAAACAUAUAACAAGAGAGAAACAUCUAUCGAACAGACAAUAUACAUACACAUCAAACACAACAGCAGUUUUAGUGACCAUAAUAUUUAUUUCUCAUUUUUACAUUGCUUACUUUAGUGACAACUGAAAAUGACAGUUGGCAAUGCAGCUAACAGUUUCAAUAAAAGUAUAAAACAAAAGACUGUGUACAAAGCACCUGUCUUUCCGCUUUUGUAAUCUUCCGUUGGAAAAAAUUUACACACCUAAGUAACCAUCUGUUUUCUUCAAGAAAAAAUCAUUCUUAUUUCUCUCUCUCAUCUUGAAAACAGCUGUCAGCCAGGAGGGCAGAGCUGAAAUUUAUUGCCACAUCACAUGAAGCAUAGAACAGACUCCACUACUCCUUGAGAUUCAAAACUUUGCCUCUCACAAAGUUACCUUUUAUUUUCCUCUUGUUUGUCACUCAUCUCCCCUAGUGUGCUCUUUUUAUUUCUUUUACUAUUAAUAAUAAAAUCUGUGGAUGACUGUAUUAUUGAAUGAUUACCUUAGUACAAUAAUUCAAGAAGUAUUUGAAUAUUGCAUCAUUGGCUUUAGAAAACAAGUAUUUAUAGGCCAUUUCAACUUCAU